CCUUAUAUGCGUGUAAACCCUUAUACGCGUCUUCUGCCUCUAUCCUCACCUGUUAGAGAACCAAAAAAAAACGCCGUCUCGUGACUCUCCCGUGACGCCUCCUGCAUUUUUCCGACGCCGGUGCUCCAUCCCGUCGCUUCUCGUCGACGCUGCUGCCGGAGCGCCAUCGCCAUCUCAUCUCCUCGGUGCUCCUUCCUUUCCCGUCGAUUUCUUCUUCGUUGCUCGACGUUCCUGCCUUCUCUCGACGUUCCUUCCUUCUCCGACGUCCGUUCCUUCUCCACAAGGCGAUUCCUCCGUCGGUCGAUUGUCUCCGGGAGCACACUUCCUCCGACAUUCUUCUCUUUGGUCGAUUUCUUCUCCAAAAAGGUUUGUAUACUGAAUUUCAUCUAUGACAACAAAAUUGAGCAUGUUGUUUAGGUUCUUCAAGUCUUUAAACUUCAAGGCUUUUCGGGGACAAUCUGUCUGUAAGAAAAAAGCUUGAAGGGUUUGCCAAUGUUUUUUUGGAUAUUGGCAAACGAAAUAUGUGUGAGGAUAGCAAAGUUAAAACCAAGAUUCUGUUUUUUGGGCUUCUCUUUGCUGCUUCAAAUAACUACACCAAAGAAUACUUGUAGAACUAUCCAUCUAUCCAGGAACAAUUGACGGCAUUUGAUUCAAAACUCAAAUUGAAGAACACGGGUCGGCCUUUAUUGACUCGACUUAACUCACCCGGUAAAUUGCCGAGUAAUCCACCAAAUAAUUCUUAGUUUUAUGUUUGUAAACACUUAGUUAAACAUUUGUGGUUGACACUUUUAAUGUGUAUUAUUAGAUGCAUUUAAUGUAGUAUUAGACAAUGUUAGUAAUAUGUAUUUGUAUUUGAUAUUUUUUUAGUUUUAUUAGUUUUAUUGUAAUGUUAUUUGUUUUGUGGUUGAA